CAGGUGAUUCAGGACCUAGCAAAGGUGGAAACAAAGAAUGGCGGAUGAAAUGCCUAGAUGCUGCUGGCAGGGUGAGUUAUAUAUCCCUCCCAAACACAUCCGCUCGGCCUCCGGAGCCCUCCGCCCCUCCCCAACCCCUCCUCAGCAUUGACACUGAGAGCCCUGCCUAAGUGACUCCCUCCCCCAUCCACUUAUUACCCUUUUAAAUGAAAUUUAUGAAUGUUUCCAUAAAUUUUAGAAUCAGUUAGCACACUGUAAUUGGAGCACAGGUAGGCAGGGAGAAUUGGGCAACAAAUCUGCUCUAAUGAAAUAGAAACUGAUGAGAGGGCAUCUUAGAGGAUCAGAGGUGGACAUGCUCCCUCCCUGGCCCCAAGGACUGUCCACUCAGGACUGACAGCUGUGCUUCUUUCCUGCAGACCACAGUGAGCUGGGCAGGGGACAAGCUCGAGUGUGUGCAGCAGGGCGAGAAGGAGGGGCGCGGCUGGACCCAGUGGAUCGAGGGUGAUGAGCUGCACCUGGAGAUGAGAGCGCAGGGGGUGGUCUGCAAGCAAGUGUUCAGGAAGGUGCAGUGAGGCCCUGCCGACAGCCCCACGCAGAAGCGGCGUGAAGCUCGGGCCAGGAUCCCCUUCUCUGCACAGCAUGAAGCAGAAAUACCCAUCCUCUCUGCCCGGGCACCUGUGCGCCCAGUCCGCCUCUUGACUUUCUCUCUUUCCCUUUCCUUAAAAUAAAGCCCCCCAAUAAAGUUUGUCUCGACUCUA